rnacentral:rRNA from 2 species
GGCGAUCAGAUACCGCCCUAGUUCUAACCGUAAACGAUGACAACCAGCGAUUAGUCGGCGUUAAUAUACGACCCGACUAGCAGCUUCCGGGAAACCAAAGUUUUUCGUUUCCGGGGGAAGUAUGGUUGCAAAGCUGAAACUUAAAGGAAUUGACGGAAGGGCACCACCAGGAGUGGAGCCUGCGGCUUAAUUUGACUCAACACGGGAAAACUCACCCGGCCCGGACACCGUAAGGAUUGACAGACUGAGAGCUCUUUCUUAAUUCGGUGGGUGGUGGUGCAUGGCCGUUCUUAGUUGGUGGAGCGAUUUGUCUGGUUAAUUCCGAUAACGAACGAGACUCUGGCCUAUUAAAUAGACGGUAUAUCGAAAAGUAUACUGUACUUCUUAGAGGGACAAGCGGCGUCUAGCCGCAUGAAAUAGAGCAAUAACAGGUCUGUGAUGCCCUUAGAUGUCCGGGGCUGCACGCGCGCUACACUGAAAGAAUCAGAGUGCGCUGUACCUAGUUCGGAAGAACCGGGUAACCCAAGUAAAUUCUUUCGUGCUUGGGAUAGGGAAUUGCAAUUAUUUCCCUUAAACGAGGAAUUCCCAGUAAAUGCGGGUCAUAAGCUCGCGUUGAUUACGUCCCUGCCCUUUGUA